rnacentral:lncRNA from 1 species
CUACUACUAUUAUUAUCUUUGAAGCUCCAACGUGGUUCUUAGCACAGAGGAGGUGCUUAUUAUAAAUGGCUAAUGAAUAAGGAGAGAAACAAGAUCCACACUUUACAGUUGAGGAACAUGAGACUCAGUGGUGGAGGGAGCAGAGGGAGGUGGUGUCCAUGGUCGCUCAGUCAGCCUCCAGCAGAGAAGGAUCUGACGCCACAGUCCAGGCUAUUCCUGCAGUUCCUCGAGGCCCUGCUCACUGAGGCCAAGAUAGGAGAAGGACCUUUCCCAAGGUCAUGCACUGGUCAGCUGGCUGUAGAACCGAGAUCAGAGAGCUGGCCCCUGGCCACUGGGCAGAUAGCAGCCUGCAGUCAAGCACAAGUGGCUUUCUGGAGGUGAUUUCAUUGACCCCUGCUUCUCCCCCCAACCAGGCUUGGCCAUUCCCUGGCUGCCAGGAGCAGCGACAGGUGAUGGAGCAGGAGGUGAUAAACACAUCCCUUGACUUCCGUGAACGCCCAUCCAAUUUGCCAUUCCCAGGCUUAUGCCAAGAGUGUUUGUGUUAAUAAACCAAAUGGGCUUUUCACAGUCCACCCAGAGUGACUGAUGGCAGAGGCAGCGUGCAAUCCUGGCGGCUCCUUGGCCUCCUUCCUACUGAGCAGGGCGCCAGCUGGAACGGGGAGGGGGCACAGGAGAGCACAGACUUCAACUUCAAGUCGCUUUAAGUUGCAGACUUCCAGAGUCAUCCGGGCCCAGGGACACUUUCCCAACACCGUCAACGUGCAGCCACGCGAGGUGCCACUCGCCUCUGGAAGGAUGGAUCCCAGCAGCAGCCAACUCCUGGGGCAGUUUGAUAGAUCCUACAGGAAAAGAAAACCUCCCAGCCAGCCAUCUGGCACUCUCUGCUUCUCUCAACAUCUCUCCCUUACCCCCUAGGCUGGAGAGAGAUAAGGAGAUUCCAGGUGAUGUCAUCCUCCUGCCCAGUGUCCCAACCUUCCCUGGCAUUGUCCCCUCCAUGUGCACAAGCCUGCCGAGGCCUUUGCAAGAUGUCCUGCCCACCCAUGACCCCUACCCAUGGUCCAGUCCAAGCAUCAGAAAGGGCCUUUAUCCCAGUAUCCUGCCAGUCCACUGAGAUGGGCGGGCCGGCUCCGGGGACAGCUCCCUUACCUCACCAUAGCACCAAUAAUCCCUUCAUUUCACACACAUAGUCUAUCACUCACCUUCACACCCAUUUUCUCAAGAAUCUUGGGGGUCCUGCUUCCUCCCAGAAUCAGAGCCUAUUACAGAAGCGUCUGAUGAUCAUGCUUAGGAUCUGGUGCCUUUCACUGACACUCAGCAUUGCACAGCAGUGAUGAGAAGCACAAUAAAAAUAGAAGCGAUCGGCCUGGCAAGGUGGCUCACACUGUAAUCCCAGCACUUUGGGAGGCCAAGGCGGGCGGAUCACGAGCUCAGGAGAUCGAGACCAUCCUGGCUAACAUGGUCUCUACUAAAAAAAAAAAAAAAAAAAAAAAAAAAAAAAAAAAAAAAAAUAAGCGGGUGGGGGGGGGGCCACCUGUACU